AUGGGCAUCCACUUGGCCUCCACCUUCCUCCUCCUCCUCGCAGCCCUGCCAGGGCUGCAGGCGGCCGUGCAGCUGGUGGGGAGCGGAGGGGGCCUCCAGACAUACGUCGCGGAGUAGCAGCGGUGGUAGCACAUACUACGCGUCGGCGGUCAAAGGGCGCUUCACCAUCUCCCGGGACAACUCCCGGAGCACGCUCACGCUGCAGAUGAACAGCCUGAAGGUCGAAGACACGGCCACCUACUACUGCGCGAAAGCUGCUCACGGUGGCACCGACCUCAUGCGCAGCUGGCGAAAAACCCAGUGUUGGCUGGUUGUCCCGUGGGAGACGGAGGGCGGCGAUGCGUGGCGACUCUUUGCCGUGCUUGAGCGGCCGCAGCUGCUGC